ensembl:lncRNA
CACACAUUUAGUAUUCUUUGCAUAAGGAUAUGAUGCUACUAACCCAUCAUUUAUAAAUCAAAUGUUUUAAGCAUUUUUUUAAUUAGAAAGGAUAGAUUUCACUGAACAAUUGGACUAAUCAUUUUUUCUUAUUUAUCCAUUAACAGCUGCUCUGUGUACUUCCUUUGGAUGAGCCCAGUUUUGUUUUUCUUACUAAUUGUCCCAUUCUGAAUUAUUCAAUGACUAAGCCUCUAAAAUCCUUUUGGAUGAAGUUAACAGCAUACUUGGCUCUGGGUGAGGUAUAGAAGAAGACUCGGGAUCCAUCCAAGGAACCAUGCUAAACCCUGAGGAUCCAAAUAAAUGCAAAGUCAGACGGUUCUGAAAGAGCUCACAGUCUCAAGGAGGAGACAAUUUGCAAAUGACUUCAUGUGAACAAGUGACCUAUAUUAUAUGAUGAAAAUAAUCAAGAGGGAAGGCUCCAGAAUUAAGGAGGAUCGGGAGAGGCUUCCUUAUAGAAGAUGAGAUUUUAGUAAGGGCUUGCAAGAAGACAAGGAGGUCAGGAGGAGAGAUGAAGGAGAGCAUUCCAAAAGGGAGAACAAUCACUGUAAAUGCCCUGCGUAGUGUCUUAGCUGAGAAAGAGCAAGAAGGAUUUCAAGAGUGUUUUUUCAAAUGUUUUGCUGAAAUCCAAUCAUAUUAUGCCCCCACUUUACCCAAUCGUUCAGGGUACAGCACUGAGAUAGGCUCAAAUGAGGCUUGAACUCUUGACAUCACUCCAGACCUUAACAGAACUUCUGGCCACUCUGGUCUGGAUUCAUGCCUUGAAGGCCUCAUCUGGGAUCAAACAAGUCUUCAUGGGAUGAGGAGCAAGUCAUUGGGCAAAUGAACUCUCCCCUCUGAGUUUCGGUCCCGGUUUGUGUAUGUGUUGGCACCAAAGGAGGGUUGUGGCUUUCCUUUUGUUCCUGGUUUAUGUCACAAAGGAAGUCUUUGGUUUGCUUCACUAUCAUCUCACUGACUUGUAUAAGAGUAAUUAUGCUUAGUUUAGAAACAUUCCAUGGAACUAAAGUAGGACAAUGAAAUCCAAGAUGAUGUGAUUUGUUUGUGACUAUAAAGCAAUGAGACUGGUCCUCUGGUGGCUUUUUAUUUCAUGCAUUCUCUGCCUAUUAAUUUUCACAAUAGAAAUGACUUUCUUUUUUAAUACACCAAAGUAUCAGCUGACACAUUCAAGAAUUUUAGAGUUGGAGGACACCCUAACAGUCAUCUACUCUGGUCCCUUCCAAAGCUGAAAUCCUUUAUGCAGUAGUUCAUAGAUCUAGAACUUGAAGUAAAGCCAGAGACUAUCUAGUUCAACCCAUUUAUUUACAGUUUAGGAAACAGGUCUAGGGAUACCAAGUGUCUUGCUCAAAGUUACAUAGGUAGUGAGCAUUAGAGGUGAGAUUUGAACACAGAUCUACUGACUGCAGAACAAGUGGUCCUUGAUAAGAAACUUGCUACUUUAAAAGGUUUCCUGUUUGGUUUGUGGUGGCUAUAAAAUAACCCUCCCCAUAAUUCCUACCAAUUGAUUCCAGUUUGGCUUCCUGAAUCUGUGAAGUGUAGCAAGGGAAGGUGCUGAGGGGAUUACACAGAAUGAUUGACAAACCUGCAUUCUGUAUGAGAUCUGGCUGGGUCAGAAUUCUAAGCUGUUGGAAAGAACAGUUUUUCAACUGAGAGACUGAAGCUAGAGAUCAAGACUGAAGGUGUGACUCUGGGACUCUCCCUGGACAAACCCAUCUGUCAAGUUGCCUGCCUUAGAAUAAGAUCAAGACAAGGUUGAGAAGAAGUUCCCCAUUCAUUCUGGUGGACAGCGCAAUUUGGAAAAGAAUUUCUCCCCUAUCUAGAGCUUCUAAGGACUCUGAAAUUGGAUUUCUGCUGCCUGACCCACCAACGACUCUGAGAGAAUCUGGGCUCCCUGUUUGGACUUAUCCUUAGUUAACUUGUUUAGUUUAGUUUAGUUUAGACAAGGUUAAGUUUAGAAAAUAAAUAUAGUGGGUUAAGCA